UUGUGUUCCUACUGCUAUCUGGAGAAAUACACUAAUUAUUCAGAAACAACCAAUCAUAGCCAGUAGGAGGGACUUAGCGCUCUCAAUCACACUCAUGUAUUCACUGGUCAAAGU